rnacentral:miRNA from 1 species
UUUGGUUAUCUGGCUGUAUGA